GAUGAACGCUGGCGGCGUGCUUAACACAUGCAAGUCGAACGGAAAGGCCAGUGCUUGCACUGGUACUCGAGUGGCGAACGGGUGAGUAACACGUGGGUGAUCUGCCCUGUACUUCGGGAUAAGCUUGGGAAACUGGGUCUAAUACCGGAUAGGACAACUUUUUGGAUAUUGUUGUGGAAAGCUUUUGCGGUAUGGGAUGAGCUCGCGGCCUAUCAGCUUGUUGGUGGGGUAAUGGCCUACCAAGGCGUCGACGGGUAGCCGGCCUGAGAGGGUGUACGGCCACAUUGGGACUGAGAUACGGCCCAGACUCCUACGGGAGGCAGCAGUGGGGAAUAUUGCACAAUGGGCGCAAGCCUGAUGCAGCGACGCCGCGUGGGGGAUGAAGGCCUUCGGGUUGUAAACCCCUUUCGCUAGGGACGAAGCGCAAGUGACGGUACCUGGAGAAGAAGCACCGGCUAACUACGUG
rnacentral:rRNA from 1 species